AACGCGAAGAACCUUACCUGGGCUCGAAGCGCAGUGGACCAGGGUGGAAACAUCCUUUUCUCGCAAGAGACUGCUGCGUAGGUGCUGCAUGGCUGUCGUCAGCUCGUGUCGUGAGAUGUUGGGUUAAGUCCCGCAACGAGCGCAACCCUUAUCGUUAGUUGCUAACGCGUUAUGGCGAGCACUCUAGCGAAACCGCCCCGGACAACGGGGAGGAAGGUGGGGAUGACGUCAAGUCCUCAUGGCCUUUAUGUCCAGGGCUACACACGUGCUACAAUGCCCGGUACAAACCGUUGCAAACCCGCGAGGGGGAGCUAAUCGGAAAAAGCCGGGCUCAGUUCGGAUUGGAGUCUGCAACUCGACUCCAUGAAGCUGGAAUCGCUAGUAAUCGCGGAUCAUCACGCCGCGGUGAAUACGUUCCCGGGCCUUGUACACACCGUAGUAC
rnacentral:rRNA from 1 species